AGAGAGAGACAUGCGCGCAUAUCAAUAAGCGGAGGAAAAGAAACUAACAAGGAUUCCCCUAGUAACGGCGAGUGAAGCGGGAAGAGCUCAAAUUUGAAAUCUUAAAGGGUUUCCCUUUACGAAUUGUAGUUUAAAGAAGUGUUUUCUGUUGAGGUUUUGGUAAAAGUUCUUUGGAAUAGGACAUCAUAGAGGGUGAGAAUCCCGUAUUUGACCUUUACUUUCAACUUUGUGAUACACUUUCAAAGAGUCGGAUUGUUUGGGAAUGCAGUCCAAAAUGGGUGGUAAAUUUCAUCUAAAGCUAAAUAUUGGCGAGAGACCGAUAGCGAACAAGUACCGUGAGGGAAAGAUGAAAAGAACUUUGAAAAGAGAGUUAAACAGUACGUGAAAUUGUCAAAAGGGAAGCGUUUGACACCAGUGUUGUUUUUCUGAAAAUCAAUUAAAGAACUGUUUAUGCUAAGUUGUUUAGACUUUAUCAGCUAACUGUUUAGUUUCGAGCUUUUCUUUAAUGCACUUUUCAGUUAACAAGUCAACAUCAAUUUCUUUUGCUGUAAAAAAGCUUGAGGAAGGUGGCUUGAGAUUCGUCUUAAGUGUUUAUAGCCUCUUGCCUAUGCAGUCGGAGAGAUUGAGGUCUGCAGCGUAGAUCCUUCGGGGCUAAAUGCAUUUGUGCUAAGUUAUAGCAUUUUAUAGACAACUUGUUGACUAUGAUUUGUCUUGUAGCUUACUCGCUUAUGUUAUUUUACCUACGCUUAGGAUGUUGAGCGCAUGUCUCUCUCU
rnacentral:rRNA from 1 species